rnacentral:rRNA from 1 species
CCUACGGGUGGCAGCAGUGGGGAAUAUUGCACAAUGGGGGAAACCCUGAUGCAGCGACGCCGCGUGAGUGAAGAAGUAUUUCGGUACGUAAAGCUCUAUCAGCAGGGAAGAAAAUGACGGUACCUGACUAAGAAGCCCCGGCUAACUACGUGCCAGCAGCCGCGGUAAUACGUAGGGGGCAAGCGUUAUCCGGAUUUACUGGGUGUAAAGGGAGCGUAGACGGCAGCGCAAGUCUGGAGUGAAAUCCCAUGGCUUAACCAUGGAACUGCUUUGGAAACUGUGCAGCUAGAGUGCAGGAGAGGUAAGCGGAAUUCCUAGGGUAGCGGUGAAAUGCGUAGAUAUUAGGAGGAACACUAGUGGCGAAGGCGGCUUACUGGACUGUAACUGACGUUGAGGCUCGAAAGCGUGGGGAGCAAACAGGAUUAGAUACCCCUGUAGUC